ACAGGUGCUGGGGAUUCCAUUGGAUUAGCCUUCCUCCCAAUCAGAAAGGGGCAUUGCCAGGCUGCCUCUCCCCUGGAAGGAAUCACUGAAGACACUGGUGAGAAAAGGGCACCUGAGGUUGCUUCCAGACGACUCGAUGAUUAAGCAUUUGCUUGCACAAAAUCUGCACAGAGUGGCCAACCAGACGCCCAUGGGAAGCCUGCAAGCGGAACCUGGAUGUGACAGCACUGUCCCCUUCUGUGGUUGCCAGCAGCUGGUAUUCGGAAGCCUACUGCCUCCGACGGUGGAGGUAGACAUAGCCAUCAGUCCCUGCUCUUGAACAAGUUCUCUUUAUGGUCUCACACCCAACCCAACCUGCCGUGACCUCCAAAAGGCAAAAAGAGGAGAAAAGAGUCAAGACUGGGAACAGCUCAAAGAUCUUUGUAUUAAAAACACU